rnacentral:rRNA from 1 species
GAUGAACGCUGGCGGCGUGCUUAACACAUGCGAGUCGAACGGGAAACCUUUUAUUGAAGCUUCGGCAGAUUUAGCUGGUUUCUAGUGGCGGCCGGGUGAGUAACGCGUGGGUAACCUGCCUUAUACAGGGGGAUAACAGUCAGAAAUGGCUGCUAAUACCGCAUCAGCGCACAGAGCUGCAUGGCUCAGUGUGAAAAACUCCGGUGGUAUAAGAUGGACCCGCGUUGGAUUAGCUGGUUGGUGGGGUAACGGCCCACCAAGGCGACGAUCCAUAGCCGGCCCGAGAGGGUGAACGGCCACAUUGGGACUGAGACACGGCCCAGACUCCUACGGGAGGCAGCAGUGGGGAAUAUUGCACAAUGGGGGAAACCCUGAUGCAGCGACGCCGCGUGAAGGAAGAAGUAUCUCGGUAUGUAAACUUCUAUCAGCAGGGAAGAUAAUGACGGUACCUGACUAAGAAGCCCCGGCUAACUACGUG